rnacentral:rRNA from 1 species
GGAGGGUGCAAACGUUGCUCGGAAUCAUUGGGCGUAAAGCGCACGUAGGUGGUUUGUUAAGUCGGGUGUGAAAUCCCUGGGCUCAACUUAGGAAGUGCAUUUGAAACUGGCGAGUUUGAGUACUGAAGAGGGUCGCGGAAUUCCCGGUGUAGAGGUGAAAUUCGUAGAUAUCGGGAGGAACACCAGUGGCGAAGGCGGCGAUCUGGGUAGAUACUGACACUGAGGUGCGAAAGCGUGGGGAGCAAACAGGAUUAGAUAUCUUGGUAGUCCACGUCGUAAACGAUGGAUGCUAGGUGUUGUGGGUAUUGACCCCUGCAGCGUCGCAGUUAACGCAUUAAGCAUCUCGCCUGGGGAGUACGGCCGCAAGGCUA